UCAAUUAGAAUGUGCUGGAAACCUGUAAACUUGGAAAGGUCGCACGCCGCACGGACGCCCAAUCACAGGCAAGAAUCAAGAUGUAAUCCCGGCGGGACUUUUGGGAAAAGAAGUCUGAUGGACUUCGAAUGAUGAUGCUAGAUUGUAGCGACGGUUAACACUCCACAGGCGAUUGAGGGAGCCGUUGUUCGGUUGUUGGAUGUUGUUUUGGACAUUCGAGUCUGCCAAUUUCAAAGUUGCAGAGAUUGGAUUCCUGUUGGUUUCUACCAAUUCCAAUUUCUAAGGUUUGAAUCGAAGAACACAAUGAUCUACACAAGAAUCUCAUCUUUAGGUUCCUCCAGAGUAAAGCUCGCAUACAGAUAUGGCUGUUUGAGCAGGAGGAUUUGAGAAUUGAAGGUCUCAUUUUUGUAAGUUUAAUUAGAGUUGUUUUUCUUGUUAUUGAUUUCAACUGUCUAGUCUUUAGGGCUUUCUAUAUGUGCAUUAAACCCUAAAGUAAAGAAGAAGUACACUUUGAUUAUUAAGAUUAUGAAUUUAGAGUGUUAAAAGGGUUUCUUUCUUUGAGAUUUAUUAUGUAAACUU
rnacentral:lncRNA from 1 species